rnacentral:rRNA from 1 species
AGUGAACGCUGGCGGUAGGCCUAACACAUGCAAGUCGAACGGCAGCACAGUAAGAGCUUGCUCUUACGGGUGGCGAGUGGCGGACGUGUGAGGAAUACAUCGGAAUCUACUUUUUCGUGGGGGAUAACGUAGGGAAACUUACGCUAAUACCGCAUACGACCUACGGGUGAAAGCAGUGGAUCUUCGGACCUUGCGCGAUUGAAUGAGCCGAUGUCGGAUUAGCUAGUUGGCGGGGUAAAGGCCCACCAAGGCGACGAUCCGUAGCUGGUCUGAGAGGAUGAUCAGCCACACUGGAACUGAGACACGGUCCAGGCUCCUACGGGAGGCAGCAGUGGGGAAUAUUGGACAAUGGGCGCAAGCCUGAUACAGCCAUACCGCGUGGGUGAAGAAGGCCUUCGGGUUGUAAAGCCCUUUUGUUGGGAAAGAAAAGCAGCAGGUUAAUACCCCGCUGUUCUGACGGUACCCAAAGAAUAAGCACCGGCUAACUUCGUG